rnacentral:lncRNA from 1 species
GAUUAAAGGAAAAGCUGAAACAUAGCUGACAGUUUGGUUAUCACAUCUGGAGUAAAUGAAAAGCAUGGCCUGAAUCCAUCAGGGAAGAUUAGGAAAAUGUGAGAAAAUUACUGAUGUCCUUUUACACAUGUAUAUUCAAACUCAUUCAAAAAUUGAGUGCCGGAACCCUCAGCUGCACAUGGAUUAUCCCUCAGUACAUUGCUAUGGAAGGAUCAGCUGACUCCUGUGGGAUACGCUGAAUAACAAAGGAAUACUGUAAUCACAAAGAAGAAUAUUAUGUAUCAUGUACUGAACUAUAGACCAAUCCUGCCAAUGCAAUCAUGCUGCAUAAUUUUCAUUCAGGAGAGAUGAAGAAGCUUCAAAACUGGUUACAUCUCAGGCCUGAAACUAUGAUCUAUUUUCCCAUGGAACCUGUUCAUUUUUUGACUGAAUACAGAUUAUGCACAUCCUCUGGAUACUACGGAAAUUUGCUGGAAAUACUGUGGUGUACAGCUGAGAAUUUCUUUAUGAAAAGUCAUGUUGAAAUGGGAAGGAGCAAAAGAACAAAUUGUUUGCAGUGUAUGAACAAGGUUCAGAGCAUGGAAAUUGAAUGAAAUGUC